UGUCUUUUUGAAGAUAAUUUAAAGUCUAAUCUGCCCACUGAUUUAAUAUUAAAGGGCUGCAGUAUUUUGACUGUACAAAGGUAGCAUAAUCAUUAGUCAUUUAAUUGAUGACUUGUAUGAAAGAUUGGAUGAAAUAUAAUCUGUCUCUUAAUUAGUAAGUAGAAUUUAAUUUUUUGAUUAAAAAGUUAAAAUGGUUUAAAAAGACGAGAAGACCCUAUAGAGUUUUAUAGAUAAAUUAAUUAAUAUUAUUUAUAAAAAUUAAAUUAAAAUUUUUUUUAUUUAUUAUAUUGGGGUGAUAGAAAAAUAUAUCUAACUUUUUUUUUUAUUUAAAACAUUUAUAAGUGAUUAAAUGAUCCAAUAGUAUUGAUUAUAAGAAAAAAUUACCUUAGGGAUAACAGCGUAAUUUUUUUUUUUAGUUCAUAUAAGAAAAAGAGUUUGCGACCUCGAUGUUGGAUUAAGAUAAAAUUUAAAUGUAGAAG
rnacentral:rRNA from 1 species